rnacentral:rRNA from 1 species
AACGCGAAGAACCUUACCGGGGCUUGACAUCGCACGAAAUCCUACGAAAGUAGGCUUUCCCGCAAGGGAACGUGCAGACAGGUGCUGCAUGGCUGUCGUCAGCUCGUGCCGUGAGGUGUUGGGUUAAGUCCCGCAACGAGCGCAACCCUCGCCGUGUGUUGGUCCGCAAGGAUCUCUCACGCGGGACCGCCGAUGAGAAGUCGGAGGAAGGUGGGGAUGACGUCAAGUCAGCAUGGCCCUUACGUCCCGGGCUACACACGUGCUACAAUGGGUAGGACAACGGGCUGCGAGCUAGUGAUAGUAAGCUAAUCCCUUAAACCUACCCUCAGUUCGGAUUGAAGGCUGCAACUCGCCUUCAUGAAGUCGGAAUCGCUAGUAAACGCAGAUCAGCUACGCUGCGUUGAAUACGUUCCCGGGCCUUGUA